rnacentral:rRNA from 1 species
GAUGAACGCUGGCGGCGUGCCUAAUACAUGCAAGUCGAGCGAACGGACGAGAAGCUUGCUUCUCUGAUGUUAGCGGCGGACGGGUGAGUAACACGUGGAUAACCUACCUAUAAGACUGGGAUAACUUCGGGAAACCGGAGCUAAUACCGGAUAAUAUUUUGAACCGCAUGGUUCAAAAGUGAAAGACGGUCUUGCUGUCACUUAUAGAUGGAUCCGCGCUGCAUUAGCUAGUUGGUAAGGUAACGGCUUACCAAGGCAACGAUGCAUAGCCGACCUGAGAGGGUGAUCGGCCACACUGGAACUGAGACACGGUCCAGACUCCCACGGGAGGCAGCAGUAGGGAAUCUUCCGCAAUGGGCGAAAGCCUGACGGAGCAACGCCGCGUGAGUGAUGAAGGUCUUCGGAUCGUAAAACUCUGUUAUUAGGGAAGAACAUAUGUGUAAGUAACUGUGCACAUCUUGGCGGUACCUAAUCAGAAAGCCACGGCUAACUACGUG